GCCGCCUCCUGGGAAGAUGGCGCUGCACUUCCAGAGUUUGGCUGAAUUGGAAGUGUUAUGUACUCAUCUCUACAUAGGGACUGAUCUUACACAAAGAAUAGAGGCUGAGAAAGCACUCUUGGAACUUAUUGACAGUCCAGAAUGUCUCAGCAAGUGUCAACUUUUAUUAGAACAAGGAACAACAUCCUAUGCUCAGCUCCUUGCAGCAACAUGUCUUUCAAAACUUGUCAGCCGAGUCAGUCCUUUACCUGUUGAGCAGAGGAUGGACAUCAGAAACUACAUUCUGAAUUACGUGGCAUCACAGCCCAAGCUGGCUCCCUUUGUCAUCCAAGCUCUUAUUCAAGUCAUUGCUAAAAUCACUAAGUUGGGGUGGUUUGAGGUUCAGAAAGACCAAUUUGUCUUCAGAGAAAUUAUUGCUGAUGUGAAGAAGUUUCUCCAGGGUACUGUGGAACACUGCAUAAUAGGAGUAAUAAUCCUUUCUGAAUUGACUCAGGAAAUGAACCUGGUUGAUUAUUCUAGACCUUCAGCAAAACACAGGAAAAUAGCUACCUCAUUUCGUGAUACUUCUCUCAAAGACGUUUUAGUGCUAGCAUGCUCUCUUUUAAAAGAGGUGUUUGCCAAACCUUUAAAUCUUCAGGAUCAAUGUCAGCAAAAUCUGGUAAUGCAGGUCUUGAAACUGGUCCUUAACUGCCUUAACUUUGACUUCAUUGGCAGUUCAGCAGAUGAAUCUGCAGAUGAUCUUUGCACGGUGCAGAUUCCAACAACUUGGAGAACAAUUUUCCUGGAACCAGAAACAUUGGAUCUUUUCUUCAAUUUGUAUCAUUCACUUCCACCACUACUAUCUCAGUUAGCACUUUCAUGUUUAGUUCAGUUUGCUUCGACAAGAAGGUCCUUAUUUAACAGUCCUGAACGUGCCAAGUACCUUGGUAAUUUAAUUAAGGGAGUAAAAAGGAUACUUGAAAACCCUCAGGGUUUGUCUGAUCCAGGUAAUUAUCAUGAAUUUUGUCGAUUUUUGGCUCGUUUAAAGACAAAUUAUCAGCUGGGAGAAUUAGUUAUGGUGAAGGAAUAUCCUGAAGUUAUUAGAUUGAUUGCUAAUUUUACCAUUACUAGCCUACAGCACUGGGAAUUUGCUCCUAACAGUGUUCAUUAUUUAUUAACUCUGUGGCAAAGGAUGGUAGCAUCUGUUCCUUUUGUGAAAUCAACUGAACCCCACCUAUUAGACACUUAUGCACCAGAAAUCACGAAGGCCUUUAUCACUUCUCGGUUGGACUCUGUUGCCAUAGUUGUGAGAGAUCACUUAGAUGAUCCACUGGAUGAUACUGCCACUGUGUUUCAGCAGUUGGAGCAGUUGUGCACGGUCAGCAGAUGUGAAUAUGAAAAGACAUGUGCUCUUCUUGUGCAGUUAUUCGACCAAAAUGCACAGAAUUACCAAAAACUUCUGCAUCCAUAUUCUGGUGUAACUGUGGACAUCACCAUUCAGGAAGGACGUCUUGCAUGGCUGGUAUACUUAGUUGGGACAGUUGUAGGAGGAAGAUUAACAUAUACCAGUACAGAUGAGCAUGAUGCUAUGGAUGGAGAAUUAUCCUGUCGAGUUUUUCAGCUUAUAUCUUUAAUGGAUACCGGAUUGCCUCGAUGUUGUAAUGAGAAAAUAGAGCUUGCAAUUCUGUGGUUCUUGGAUCAGUUUCGUAAAACAUAUGUUGGUGAUCAACUUCAAAGAACCUCAAAGGAAGUUGCUGGAGACUGUAUACUACUCAAUUAAAAAAGUAAACCAAGAAAAGAGGAAGAAGGGAGAGAUGGGAUCUGAGAAUCAGAGGAUCAAACACAGGAGAGAGGCUAAGGGAAGCUCUCGGAUAACAGCUGUGCCUCAGGCCUUGAGAGCAACCAGUUCAAACUGGAGCAGAUGGAAGAAGACAGACAUCUUCCUGUGAAGGGCUUGUGGCAAACCUAUCCAACUCGGGUUUCUUCUUCCUUGAGAACGAUCUGAUUCAUCAUCAUCUGAACCAGGGAUCACAGUCUAAGGUCCAGAUGGCUUGGAACCAGAAGCUGAUUGAGAAUAUUAGAGCUAACAUUUGCACUCAUGGUCAUCACGGAGGUCUUUGUUGGCUUGCCAUGAAUUCUUUCCUUUAAUGUCAAAAUGACUAAGACAGAGACAAGAAUUUUCCUGUUCUGUAUCCCACUUCUAUAUGCUAGUAAUAAGAAACUUCUGAUUGUGCCUCAGGCAAGUGGUCAUAGCUAAUUGAAAUCCAGUUUUGUACCUUGAUGCUAUCUUACAACUUGGGAAGUAAAUUAGGUCUGUGGCUAUGAGGCUAUUUUCUGGACAAAAUAGCCUCUUAUUUUUCAAAAAAAUUUUUUUAUUUGAGGAAAAAAAUCUACAUGUAUUCUGACAUUUAUAAUCCUUCAAAAUGCACUUGGGCAUUAUGUGAAAUUUGUUUUAUAGGUGGACAUUUUAAGUAAAUUAGUUUAAGUCUUACAAAACAUUAAUUUGUUUCAUCAUGAUAAUGACAUUGUGUGCAUUUGGUUGUGAAAAAAACAGAAGUAGUACUUUAAUAUACCUUGUCUCUGACUUUCACCCACACAUAGCAGAUAUGAAUAAAUUGGGCAUUUAUUUCUCCUAUUGGCUAAUUUUCCAAGUGACUCUUAAGUUAUGAACUGAAGUUAAUAUACUUCAGUGAGUUUGCUACAGUAAUGACUCCUGGUCACUAGGAAGAAGAGAGAUUGUCUUCCUCUGAAAUUUUUCCAACCAUUAAGGUAAAUGGGUUGUAAGAAUACUGUUGGCUUCUUGAGAUACAUUGUUUUGUGUUUAUUAUUCAAAAACAUCUAUACUAGUUUUGAGCAAGAGAACAUUUCUUUGGCUGGAAAGGCAACUUUUUAAAGCAUUCAUUAUUUGGAACCAUGUUACUGUUGGAACCUAAAUAAAGUAGUUAUUUACUUGAGUCUAUAUUAGGACAACUAAGUUAGUAUGGACUUAGAAAUUGUUGGGUACAAACCCUGUGUUUCUAUCUCGUUAUGUUUGUGUAAUAUGUGCAGAAGAAUCAAAAUAUUUAUUGGGUGUUUUAAAAUGUCUCCAGUGGUAUCUCUCUUGAACAGAAAAGCCAUUUAUUUAAUUCUGCUUCAGAUUCUAGUAGAAAAUUAUUUCCCACUAGAUCAUAAGUGUUUUAAGAUGAUUAGGUUCCUGUAUGUGCAUUGUAUGAGUAUGUGAACAUAUCCUAACCCAAUUUUAUAAAUAUAUAAAGUAAUUUAAAUAUUUAGAAAUCUCAACAUUAAACCAAGAAUGUCAUCCACAUUAAAGUGUGUAUUAAAUAUUUGAAUCUGUAUUGUAAUGAACUCAGUAGGCAUGUUUCAAAGACUUAGGAAGUAGCACAGAUUUCCAUUAUGCUCUUGGGCUGGGCAAGUCAAUUACAUCCUCAAAGGGUUGUAAUUUUGUAGAAAUUAGCAGACUACAAAGGAUGCUUGAUGGUUGUAUCUGACUGGCUUUGGAAAUGCUUACAUUUCUAAGACUGUGAAUUUUUAAAUAAUCUUUCCUACUUUUUUUCCUACUUUUAUCCUUCUUGUAUGUUUUUGUAACCAGUAGUUUUUUAGGUAGACACAUAUGUGAACUUUAAACAUUUCCAUAUUUAUAGUUAGUGUAAUUAUUACAACAUCUGUUUCAAUAUAUGAAUGAACUAAAAUUUGGAAACUUAAAAGAUCAGUUUUUAGUCUUUAAAACAUUAGAGCAGGAUGAGCUCUUAAUCAUCUACACAAAGAUUUACAGGCUUUAAAUAUGUAGAUUUAGAUUAUCUGUGAUAGCAUUUUCAUUCUAUACCAGUUAAUGCAUUUCAGAGACAUGUGGUGUGUGUAUUAAGGGACAUGCUAGCUGAUUGUACCUUACUGUAAGCAAAACAAAAUUAUAAAAGCAGAUUUGUUAUGAAAAAUAAGAAAUCGAUGAUUUCCAAAAUCAAAAAUGUGACUUUCGGACUAUUCUAUGUGUUGUUGGAUUGAUCUGCCUUUUCUUACACAAGAGCAUACUGCUGACCCCACCACAAGCUUUACCUGUUAAGUAAAAUAUGUUGUGUUUGGAAUAUAGCAUAGCCUAGAGCCAGGCAUUAUGGAGAUGAUAUGCUGAAAUUGGGGUUUCUUUUCUUCAUUCUCCCUUUCCAGUUAGGAUUUGAUUGCAUUACUGUAAUAAACAUUAACAUUGAAAUCAUGUUUUAAAUUUCUUCAUGUUCAUUUUCUGGCCUCUGUAGGACACACACAGAAAAGACCAGUGAAUGCCAUUUCAUCUAAGAAGCUCUUUAAAUGCAUCCAAGAUGCCAGAAAUAACCCUUUCAUACCUCCUGAGUAGUAGCAACAUGUAAUGGUAUAGGAAGAAAUAUUCCACCUAGCUUUUCUUUUGGUGGUGUCUUGCCAUUAACUCAUAAAAACGUAUAUCCUACUAUUAUCUCUACCAUACCUUCAUGUCAUUGGUUAGAUUGCCUGAUGGCUACUAAUGUCUCAAGUUAAUAGCCACAGAAUAUUUCAGAAAGGUGGCGUCCACUUUAUAAAAUGUGUCUAUGAUUGCCAAAGUCUUAUUUGGCUAGAAACAACUAAAUUUAGUUGACCGAGUAAAAUUGUAUAUUCUUAGAAUAUGUCACUUAAAACAAACAAAUAGUGAUUUACUUUCAGUUCUGAAAAUAUUUAGAAGGAUUUGUUAUCUCUUGCAGACCUUCCUGCAGACUACUAAUGGGAUGAACACAAUAUAUCACUUUUAUAAUAGUGAGCUAUUAAAGGCAAGCAUAAAGCAGUCUGAAGCCCAUAAGUGCUGCCAACAGCUCCUGCUUUAAUGAAUUCCCUUUUAGAUGUCCAUUAAAUGCUCAUGGCAAAUGUACUCAUAAUGGAAAUGGCAAAUCUAAAUGGGUAGAUAUGAAUAAUCCAUGGAGUUUAAAUUCUGUUUAUGAUCAUCUUCACAUUUAGUUUUCAAGACAACGCAGUUUAGUUUUCAUUACAGUUUGGAAUAAAGAGGACAGGGAGUAAUUGAUUGCUUCAAGCAGAUUAAAAUCAAUGGUUUUCUUUUCAAAGAACCAGUUCAAUGCAGUAAUUCCAACUUUAAACAUUGAUUUAGAGGACUCAACACAAAAUGUUUUGUGCUGUGUGAACUUUUAUAUAGGAAGACUAAUAUUAAUUUUAUUCCCCUGUAUAUCUGUAUAGUGAAAUAUAGAGGUUGUUAGUAACAUGUGCAUGACUUAAUAGUGAUCUAUAUUAAGUCAUUUUGAUAUUAUUGCAGUCAUAUAAUGAAUCAGUGAGAUUCCCGUCAUCACUGUAAUACUGUUUGUAACCCAUUAGCACAGAGAAAUUACAGCCCAUCAUACAUCAUUACUGUGAUUGAGGCUUUAUUACCAUAUUCUCAAAUUGCUUGCUUGCUAUAAAACUAAAUAGACACAAGACAACUAUAGGUAGAGUAGAGACUGCGCAUUAUUGUGCUACAGUAAUGAGGGAUUAUUGUACCAUAAUGGGUUGAAACUUAUGAGGAAAAUAAACUUGGCAGUAAUAGAAAA